rnacentral:lncRNA from 1 species
CUUUUCCUCUCUGUCAGCCUCAAAUCCCUGUAGGCAUUUGAGGGACAAACAAAUGAAGAAAUGGUGAGCCCUCCUUCUGAUUUUGAAAUCAAUAAUAACAAAGGAAGGAGCGAUUAAGAGGUUCAGAGAGGUAAAUUCAAACAACGAUCUUCUCCUGGAACUAAUUGUGGAGGAUAAUUAAGUUGAAGUGGACAGUGUUGUUACUUCCAAAGCUCAAUCAGAAGUCCUUUGAAUUCAGAGGAGCAAGUCAAGAGAGGUCUCCAAAGUGGGAAGUCUGGACUGGA